UAUAUUUGUACUGUUAUUUGGACGGUAUUCGCUGCAGUUGGAUAAUAAAGAUAGUUAUUUUGCUUUACGUCUCUAGGGUGAAACCACCGAACGUCACUGCUCAUAAAUAUGAAAGUGCUUCAGAUAACAUCCCUUCCAAGGUCAAAUCUAUAAACAACCCAAACUACGAGAAAACUUUAGAACUCAAGACUCAUGAAUACGCUGUUCCAGAUUGUCAAGUGAAGCCCAGCUGUUAGGCGUGGCGUACAUAGCCCGGAGCAAACGGAGACGCAUAAAUAUUAAGUUGAAAUUGUAAUCAGGUUUCAGAAACGUCUAUUUUGUAAAAUGUGCCGGGAUAUCACUUGGAAAACACCGCCAAACAUUUCAUUUCCACGGGUUUCCGGGGCCCCGAAACCCCUGAAAAAACAGUAGUAAAUCAUGAAUUUUUCAAUAUAUUUCUGAGUAGAACAAUUCUCAACAAACGAGAGAAAGUGUUCAAGAAAACGAUAAUUCAAAACAAGCGAAAACUGACGGUAAAUAGAGAGUUGAAAACUGCAAUCAGUUAGCAGUGACGCACGCAAAGAUGAGGGAACUGUACAUUUAUUGAAAUGUGUGUAAUUGAGUGAUGAAAUUGUGGAUGUAAAGCCCCGGUAAAACGAUCGCAACAUUUCAACGCAACAUAUCCCAUCAUUGUUGGUCCAGCAUUUGCAACCUCUGGCGAAACGAUCGCAACAUUAUUUGCGUGCGUUUGGCCACCCUGUUGGGACGUGUUGCUACGUGCUGGGUAUUGAAAAUCAAACUAGCGCGCAUGCCCUGGCACAACACUGUUGCUCGAACCUGGCCAAACGACUACAACAUCAUGCAACAUCCUAAUGUUGCAUGAAAAUUUGACCAUUUUCGAAUUUGA